rnacentral:lncRNA from 1 species
GAGUUUUCAUAUAUAGAUCCAGUUUCUACCGUUCUUCUGACAUAAAAAGACCUUUGGUUUAAUAAGUUAUUAAGAAGAAAAUACGUCAAUUUCUACUUCCUAAUUGUGUUGUACAUCGGUAUAUAAGAAUGAAGGUAACUGCAGAAAGCCUAUUGGCCCAUAUGUACAUGUAUUAGCGUCCUCAUCCUUCCUAUAAGUACUAUUAAAACAGGUGAAUGGGCUGCAAUAUCUUAUUAAUGCCAUUACCUGUCAACUUGAUAUUACACAAUACUAUGGUGUAACGAGUUUAAAUUGAAAUGGGGCAGUGUAGUUCUCUAGCGACUUCUUGGAUCAAAUCUUGUGCAUAUCUUCCCAAAAACAUAGCCUAAGGGCCAGUUUUCUGCAUUAAUCUUUCAAAAUGGUAUUCAUAGAAUUGCUUCAGAAGUGGUACUAUGCCUUCAAGAGAACUCACAGAACAGACUCUAAAACAGGUUCAAAUGUUUCGUAAGCAUCUAGAUAAUCCAGUGGUUCGUGACCUUCUUGUUGUUGGUGGUAUACCCGUGAAGGAGCAAAUAGCAGCACUCAAUGCAGGUGUGGAUAUUGUUUGUGGUACUCCAGGACGCUUGGAAGAUCUUAUUAAUACAGGACAACUCUCUCCAGUCUUGCAAAUUCUUUGUGUUGGAUGAGGCUGAUGGACUUCUUAAACAGGGGCAUGAGCGUCUCAUCAAUAACAUCUACAACUCCAUACCCAAAAUCACAUCUGAAGGCAAGAGACUCCAGAUGGUGGUCUGUUCUGCCACCCUACAUUCCUUUGAAGUGAAGCUCAUGGCAGAACGUUUGAUGCACUUCCCGACUUGGGUAGAUCUUAAAGGGGAAGAUGCUGUGCCCGAGACUGUCCACCAUGUUGUCGUAACCAUUGAUUGCAGAUGGCGUGCAUGUUAAGGAUGGCGUACGACCUGGGAACAAUACACCUGAGACAUUAAGUGAGGCGGUGAAGCUGCUGAAAGGAGAGUACUGCAUUAAGGCUAUUGACACACACAAAAUGGAUCAAGCACUAAUAUUCUGCCGCACUAAGUUGGAUUGUGACAAUUUAGAGCGCUAUUUUAAUCAAAUUGAUUCAAAGGUGGUCUGGACACCCAAUUUGGUCAGACAGGUGAAGAGAGCAUUUAGGAUAG